UAGAACAGAAAACCAGCAGGCUCUGGACCUUAUAGGGUAAGAUUUGAAUACCGCUGGUUCACAUGACAGCUAAGGUGAGCUGUAGUAAGGUGUGUUCAGAGGUGUGGCCUGAAUGGUCUGAUCGCUCCAGAGGUGAGGUAUGUUUACAUGCUGAUGUGAUUCUGCCCAGAGGUAUUUGUCUGAUGUGACCAGGCCUCCAGGCAAGUGUCUGAGGGAGAGCUGGCUGGCGUAGAGAUGCCAUGUAUCCAACUCCAGCUACCUUCAAUUGAUGCUGGGUGACCUACAGAAAGCCUGUUGAUGCCGACAUUAUUGACCCUGACUAGUAGAGGUCACAGGGAAACCCAGUGUGGGUGCCACAGAGCUAACAGACUGCCAUCUUCAGCUCCAACAUGGGCUUAUUAGUGGACUCAUCAAUGUUUCCUUUAACUCUAUCAUAGGAAGAGAAGUGAAGCGAAGGAGGUGUUGGCUCAGUCAUAAAGUUUUCGCCUUUCCCACCCAGUGGAGUCCUCAGUGGUGAGGUAACCAACCCUCUUCCAGAGGACUGGGUUCAAACCUACAGCCCUGUGCUAAUGGGAUCGAGCACCGGUACCGCCUCUCGCCACUGUGGAUUAGCAGGUGCACCCGGAGGUUGUUGGGCUGCGCGAAUGACUUGCCGCAGUGUGGGCAGCUGAACGGCCGCUGUCCCGUGUGGACCCUCUGGUGCACCUCCAGGGACGCCUGGCUGUGGAAGAUGCGGCCGCAGAAGUUACAGCCCAUUGGCUCGUUCGUCGUCGUGGCUCCAUGCGGCUGCCUCUGAUUCGCUGGGGGUGCGGGAGGAGGAGGAGCUGUCAUGUCAAAGGGGGCGAAGACGCCCAUGUCGCUGCCGGGGAACUGUCUGGACUGGCUCUCUACGUCAGCCUGGGUUUGGUAGGAGCAAGAUGGAUGCCCGGCAGCCUCUGCGUUUGCGGCUGCUGCCUGGGCCAAGGAAAGCCCCAGAUGCCCCAGGACCCUCUCCUGCAUCAGAGCCAGAUCCAAACCGGGGCUAUUCAGUAGCUCUGUGCUGAGAUCUGGUCCUGUUGGCUGCUGGGGUCUCUGGUUCACACCCUCUGUCCCCAUCUCUGACUUGAGGUUAGCUUCGGAUCCACUGGUCCUAGUGGGCUCAGUGGGGUCCUCUGUGGCUGCAGUGGGCGAGCUGUGAGUGUCAGCCAUGUUAUGUCUCUCGCUGUCAUCGUCGUUGGGUUCUGGAACUACCAUCAAGGAUGAAAAAGGAGUAAUCAACACAAUGAUCAGACAUUCCUAAUCAUAUACAAUAGGUUGCCUUUAAACACAGCACAAGUCCUAAGAGUUGAUGUCUUCAGUUAAGGGCUAAGAGUUGAUGUCUUCAGCUAAGGGCUAAGAGUUGAUGUGUUCAGUUAAGGGCUAAGAGUUGAUGUCUUCAGUUAAGGGCUAAGAGUUGAUGUCUUCAGCUAAGGGCUAAGAGUUGAUGUCUUCAGUUAAGGGCUAAGAGUUGACAGGCCAGUUAAGGCCAGUAGUAGCCUGUGUGUUGGGUAUUUCAACAGUGAGUGGAUUGUAAAUAAAAAAGUGUUCUAAGUAAUCAAUAUCUGCACUGAAACUUACCAGUGGGUCUACUCUCUGAGCGGAUGUUUUGUUCUACCUUCAGGUCCACGCCACAGCUGUCCACUCUUUCCUGCUUGAUUAGGGACAAUGCAGUUCUGUCUUCCUGUAAAUAAAAUAGAAAAAUACAGAUUA